rnacentral:rRNA from 1 species
UACGUAGGGUGCGAGCGUUGUCCGGAAUUAUUGGGCGUAAAGGGCUCGUAGGCGGUCUGUCACGUCGGGAGUGAAAACUCGGGGGCUCAACCCCGAGCCUGCUUCCGAUACGGGCAGACUAGAGGUAUGCAGGGGAGAAUGGAAGUUCCUGGUUGAGCGGUGAAAUGCGCAGAUAUCAGGAGGAACACCGGUGGCGAAGGCGGUUCUCUGGGCAUUACCUGACGCUGAGGAGCGAAAGUGUGGGGAGCGAACAGG